rnacentral:rRNA from 1 species
UACGAAGGGGGCUAGCGUUGCUCGGAAUUACUGGGCGUAAAGCGUGCGUAGACGGUUAUGUAAGUCGGGUGUGAAAGCCCCGGGCUCAACCUGGGAAUGCCAUUCGAGACUGCAUAGCUAGGGUGCGGAAGAGGGAAGCGGAAUUUCCGGUGUAGCGGUGAAAUGCGUAGAUAUCGGAAGGAACACCAGUGGCGAAAGCGGCUUCCUGGUCCAGCACCGACGUUCAGGCACGAAAUCGUGGGGAGCAAACAGG